CUGUUUUAUCAUGACUGAUCUUAGUUAAAUCUAGUGUGUUUGACUGCUGUUUGGUAUCGACAGAUUUUAUUCAAAACUGAUAUGAUUGAUAGUAUGAAGUCUGAGAGUAUAAGCAACUACAUUGAAGAUGACAAAGGUUCUCUGGGCCUUUUCCCUGGGGCUGUCAUGUCUAAUAUUUCAGAAAGUGGCAAAGCUGCUUUGUUUUUAUCACAGGACUGCUAAGGGAAAAUGCCAGUUCCUGCCCUUACUGAGACAUGUUUCCUUUUUGCCACUUUUUAGAGAGCUCCAACUGGCUAUCUCCAUCACCACUCGUAGUUAUUACUCCAAUAUUUGUCGUGAUACUGUGUUAUGGAAACAAAUGUGCACCCUGGAAAUGUCCCAUGUCUAACAGCACAGCAAUAAUGGAUCCCAUCCUGGGUUCAGGAAAUGCUAAUGGUGAGUGCAGGCCUGCAGCUGGAUGGGGCUGUGAAUCUGUGAGAGGACAUAGGGCACAGGAAAGGCACAGGGGAUUAUCCCCUCCGGGAACAGGCCUGCCUGUGGCCUGUAAGUGAGGUCAGGGUGGCAGGAGCCAUCCUAGGGAGAUGCCUCAGGGUUGCAUAUCUAAGUAUUAGGCACUUAAUUGUCCUCAGGGCCCGAUGGCAGCCAAAGAUCCUGAGCUAGAAGGAGACUUAGCUCUUCAAAGCUUUGUUUGGGUAAACUGAGACACCAAAAAGCUGAGGAUAUGUACAUGGUGAGCUGGGUUUUAAUCCAUAUAGGAAGCUGGAUAUAUAUCACCUUAUUUGUAUAAGAAUACUCAUCUGGUCUGUCUCACUGAAGGAAUAUUUAUACUUUCCGUUGUGGCCUCCUUUUAUAUACUGGCUCUAGAUACUGUGUGGGGAGGGAGAGUUCACCAGUCACUGGGUCAAGAUCCCAGCCACCUGGAAUGGUAGAAAUCCAUCACAUUAUGCAUAGAGUUCUACAGCCACACAAAAUAAUCUUGUAUGACAUUGCUAUGCUAUUUAAAUUAAUGAUGGCACACUCAGGUUUUCAUUUAUCACAUGAACCCCCACCUGGCAUCUCAGCGUGUGUCUCCAUUGAUGUCAGUAUCUUCUGUGCCCUUUGUGGGAUCAGCUUGGUGUACUUUUGCAUGAUUUUCUAGAAGUGAUAUCAGCAAUCUUACUCUUCUUUGAUGGUAAUUUGCAUGUUUUCCUCUGCUGCCACAUGAGAAAGGUAACAGGUCCUCCGGGAGAAGUCACACCAGACUUCUCUUUAGGCAUUCUCUCUUUUUUAAAAUUUUGUCAUUUAUUGGUGCAUAUAAGGGAUUCAGAAUAUGAGUUUGUCUUUGGUGUACUGGGUUUGCAUAUACCAUACUCUGAUCAUUUUCAUCCCCCUCAACUCCCUCUCCUUUCCUUCACCUGCUCCCUCUGCGGCUUUCCUUAACACUAAUCGUGCACUUCCCAGUUUUCUGUCAAGACCUUUUCUAAAAUCCUCGCCUCUGUUCUAGCACUGGGUGCACAAACUCCUGGUGGAUAGUGUGUGUAUGGGGUGUGCGCUGGUUUCUCUCUUUCAGUCUCUAUGCUCUUUAUUUUCCUUUCUGGUUUUGUCCUGGAUAAAACUUGUAACAGUGCUUUGGGGCUCUGCCUGCUGUUAGUGUCUGUGCAUGGUGGUGGUUUUCCUUGUGUCUCUUACCCACGAGUUCCCAUCAGUCAGGCUGAGGCUUCUUGAGGGGGAAUUAAGAUCACAGGUAAAACUGGCUCAGCAGUGUGUGACUGCUGUGGUCUGCGACCCCAGCUGUGGUGGCUUAAAGAGCACAAAUGUAUUCUCUUCCCGGUGGAGCUCUCAGAGGCUGAGAGUUCUGUCAUUGAGGUAGGCGAUGAGCUCAGCAGUGCCCCAGCAAGCACUUCUCACAAUCUCCUGGUGAAGAGGGAAGCUGAUUGUUACCUCAGAGUUUUGAGGGUUCCAGCCCAGGUGAUCCAUCUCCAUACGUGGUGACGCCAGACACCAUGCUAGAAGCAUGUGGCACAGGCUGCCCAGGAAGCAGAAGAGAAGAUGAGAGGACUAAGUCCCAGGAUCCCCUUCUAGAAUGCACACCUAGGGACUGAAGGCCUCUCAGCAGGCGCCACCUCUCAGAGCUUCCAGUAUCUCCUGGAGUGCCAGGCCAAGAAUCAAGAGUUUAACUCAAGCACCAUGGAUACCAACCAUAACAUCUGCCCUCAUGGGUACCCUGGAUAAGACAUAAAGGGCAAUGUAGGGUGGGAGUCCUGUCUUGUGGCUUGUCCCCUCCUUGCUGCCUUAGCCUGCCCUGCUUUGUCAUGGAGUUUGCUGCCACACCCACUGAGACAUCCAGGGUCAGGCUCUGAACUAGCGUUGCAGAAAA